AAAAUUUUAAUGUAAAAUGGCUAAUUGUUUUCCCGUUUGCCUGGGCCUGUGAGGGGUGUGUCCCUGUGGGUCCAAUGAUUGGUCAGUGAAGUAAGCUGGUACUCACGGCCUCCGUCCAAUCCCCGAUUUACCCAGGGUCCCCUAGGUCCCGGUUUAGGUUUGAAUCACAGAAGUUUUAUUCAUUCGAGAUACUUUGGCUUGCGUGUCAACUUUUUUUUCCUUAGAGGAUAGGCUUCAGGUUUGCAGAAACAUGAGAGAUGCAAUUUUAGCAUUGCAUCAUUAACCAAGUUAUCAGCCUCCCGCAGUUUUUUCGGGCUUGGUGGCCGGAGGCUUGGCGGCCCCUCAAACUGCUUGUAUUUGUGUUUAAUAUGUUUGCUUAUUAACAUGCUUAUUCAUAAGUAUUAUUAAUUUGCUUAAUUUGAGCUUUGUUUGAUUUGAGCUAUGUUUAAUUUGAGCUAUGUUUAAUUUGAGCUAUGUUUAAUUUGAGUUUUGUUUAAUUGAGCUUUGUUUAAAUUGAUCUUCAUUUAUUUGAGUUUGAUCAUGUAGAUGCUUAAAGCUGUGUGUUCGAUAACAAGCUUGCAUGUAGUGCUAGAGGUGUAUUUCCUUUUGGGGUUGCCUUGCUUAUGCCAUUUGCAUACCAGAGACAUUUAAGUAAAGUGGAGCAUGGCACCCUAACUGGCUGACGCCUUCUAAUGUGUUAUACAAUAAAUUGUUACGGGCAUACAGUUGUUAUGUUGUAAAUAUCGUUGACCAGGCAGGGGAGAGAAUUGUAAAAUUUUAA